rnacentral:rRNA from 1 species
AACCGGAGCGGGAAACCGCACCGGGGUUGAGGACUACCAACAAGUACCCGGAUGAAGUCGAAUCAGGUGGGAACCUGAGCCAGAGACGGUGAGAGCCCGGUAGACGUAAAGAAGGGUAUGGGGUAGUAUCCGGAGUACCACGGGGCACGAGGAACCUUGUGGGAAGCAGGGGGGACCACCCUCCAAGGCGAAAUACUGAUAUGGACCGAUAGCGCAUAGUACCGUGAGGGAAAGGUGAAAAGAACCCCGGGAGGGGAAUGAAAGAGAACCUGAAACCGUAUGUCUACAAGCAGUCGAAGCACCGUAUGCGUGCGACGGCGUGCCUAUUGAAGAAUGAACCGGCGAGUUAUUUCAUCCGGCGAGGUUAAGCGGAAAACGCGGAGCCGAAGCGAAAGCGAGUCUGAACAGGGCGAUAAGUCGGAUGGAAUAGACCCGAAACCACAGUGAUCUAUCCAUGCCCAGGUUGAAGCACAGGUAAAAAUGUGUGGAGGACCGAACCAGUGAGCGUUGAAAAGCUUUUGGAUGAGGUGUGGAUAGGGGUGAAAUGCCAAUCGAACGUGGAGAUAGCUGGUUCUCCCCGAAAUAGCUUUAGGGCUAGCCUCAUGGCAAGAGUGCAGGCGGUAGAGCACUGAACAGGGUAGGGGCCUAUCCGGCUACCGAACCUAAUCAAACUACGAAUGGCUGUACUUAUCCAUGGGAGUCAGACUGCGAGUGAUAAGACCCGUAGUCAAGAGGGAAACAGCCCAGACCAACAGCUAAGGUCCCCAAUGCCGUACUAAGUGGUAAAGGAUGUGGAGUUUCGAAAACAACCAGGAUGUUGGCUUAGAAGCAGCCACCAUUAAAAGAGUGCGUAAUAGCUCACUGGUCGAGAGACUCUGCGCCGAAGAUGACCGGGGCUAAAGUACGGAACCGAAGCUUUGGCAUGUAUGAAAAUACAUGGGUAGGGGAGCGUUCCUGCAUGGGCGAAGCCUGACCGGAAGGACAGGUGGACAGGCAGGAAGUGAGAAUGCCGGUAUGAGUAGCGAAAAGAAAGGUGAGAAUCCUUUCCACCGAAAGCCUAAGGGUUCCUGGGCAACGAUCGUCGACCCAGGGUAAGUCGGGACCUAAUCCGAGGCGAAGACGCAUAGGAGAUGGACAACAGGUUGAAAUUCCUGUACCGACGUCGUCUGUUUGAGCGAUGGAGUGACACAAGAAGGAAAGUUCGCAUGCGAUUGGAAGAGCAUGUCUAAGCAGGUAGGUUGAAUACCAGGCAAAUCCGGUAUUCUAAAAGCCGAGAAGUGAUAGGGAGCCUGUAGAGAUACAGGUGAAGGAACCGGGACUCGAUUGUCAAGAAAAGCUUCUAGUGAGGACGACGCCGCCCGUACCAAAACCGACACAGGUAGGCAAGAAGAGAAUUCUAAGGUGCGCGGGAAAACCCUCGUUAAGGAACUCGGCAAAAUGUAUCCGUAACUUCGGGAAAAGGAUAACCCAGAGUACGUGAAGGAAAGAAACAUCCGGAGCGGGAAUGGGUGGCACAAGAGAGGCCCAAGCGACUGUUUACCACAAACACAGGCGUCUGCUAAAGAGAAAUCUGAUGUAUAGAUGCUGACACCUGCCCGGUGCUGGAAGGUUAAGAGGACGUGUUAGCCGCAAGGCGAAGCAGAGAAUUGAAGCCCCAGUAAACGGCGGCCGUAACUAUAACGGUCCUAAGGUAGCGAAAUUCCUUGUCGGGUAAGUUCCGACCCGCACGAAAGGUGUAACGACUUGCGCACUGUCUCAACGAGGGACCCGGUGAAAUUGAAGUACCUGUGAAGAUGCAGGUUACCCGCGACUGGACAGAAAGACCCCAUGGAGCUUUACUGUAACCUGAGAUUGAAUUUUGGUAGAAGAUGUACAGGAUAGUUGGGAGACGUAGAAGCGCGCACGCCAGUGUACGCAGAGUCGAUGGUGGGAUACCAACCUUGUUUUAUUGAAAUUCUAACGAGAGCCGUAACGAGGCUGCGGACAGUCUCAGGCGGGCAGUUUGACUGGGGCGGUCGCCUCCGAAAGAGCAACGGAGGCGCCCAAAGGUUCCCUCAGCGCGGACGGAAACCGCGCGAAGAGUGUAAAGGCAGAAGGGAGCUUGACUGCGAGACGGACAGGUCGAGCAGGGACGAAAGUCGGGCUUAGUGAUCCGGUGGUAGAGAGUGGAAUUGCCAUCGCUCAACGGAUAAAAGCUACCCUGGGGAUAACAGGCUAAUCUCUCCCAA